rnacentral:rRNA from 1 species
GCUCAGUAACACGUAGUCAACAUAACCAAAGGACGUGGAUAAACUCGGGAAACUGAGGCUAAACCGCGAUAGAUCAAGAUGUCUGGAAUGGCUUUUGAUCAAAAUCUAUAUGGCCUUUGGAUUGGACUGCGUCCGAUCAGGCUGUUGGUGAGGUAAUGGCCCACCAAACCUGUAACCGGUACGGGCUCUGAGAGGAGGAGCCCGGAGAUGGGCACUGAGACAAGGGCCCAGGCCCUAUGGGGCGCAGCAGGCGCGAAACCUCUGCAAUAGGCGAAAGCCUGACAGGGUUACUCUGAGUGACUUUCGCUAAGAAAGUCUUUUGGCACCUCUAAAAAGGGUGCAGAAUAAGGGGUGGGCAAGUCUGGUGUCAGCCGCCGCGGUAAUACCAGCACCCCGAGUGGUCGGGACGAUUAUUGGGCCUAAAGCAUCCGUAGCCGGUUCUGCAAGUCCCCCGUUAAAUCCAGCUGCUCAACAGAUGGGCCGCGGAGGAUACUACAGAGCUAGGAGGCAGGAGAGGCAAGCGGUACUCAGUGGGUAGGGGUAAAAUCCGUUGAUCCAUUGAAGACCACCAGUGGCGAAGGCGGCUUGCCAGAAUGCGCUCGACGGUGAGGGAUGAAAGCUGGGGGAGCAAACCGGAUUAGAUACCCGGGUAGUCCCAGCCGUAAACGAUGCAGACUCGGUGAUGGGUUGGCUUCGCGCUAACCCAGUGCCGCAGGGAAGCCG